rnacentral:lncRNA from 1 species
CAAGAUAUCUGACACUAUCCCUCUUGGCGAUGACCUAAGAUCAAUUCAUCACGUCUCUGCCUACUUCACUCGGCUCGGCGGUAAACUUGCACUCCAGGUAUUCUGUCUUAAAUCUGCUUAUUUUGAAACCCUUAGACUCGAGAGUCUGUCUCUAUACCUCUAACCUCUCAAUAACACCGACUCUCGUCUCGUCCAUCAAGACUAUGUAGCAUUACGACAGCCCACUGUUAAUCAACAAGCAUCACAACUCAAUGCUAUAACGAACGUUAACCAAACCGAUAAAUUCGUUAAGCAUAAAAAUAGCAUUGCAACAGCCCACUGUUAAACAUAACCACAAAUUCCAUUACACACUAUUUGACACACACACACGCACACAACACUUAACAAAACGAAUACACUAUCAGAGUACUGAAAAUUUCAAAUAGUAUCAUAAGCGAGCUAACAAAUGCAGCAUUUCAGAUCUUAAAGAAGCAAUCGACCAAUAGCACAAACACAAUUACACAAAAUAAAGAAUUCACACCUGAUCUAGCGAAGUUUAAGCUCAAUUUAUACUCAGGAGCUACAAGUAUACACAGAUAUAAAUAUAAACCUACACACACACAAAAAGGAAAGUAAUUUACAGUGCUGCGGCGACGUUCGGCGGCAAUGGAGAAACCGAAAGCGGUUAAGCUGAGUACUAUUACGACUAGAUGAACAAGCGAAGAUCCUUUGCCUUCCGCCAUUUUCUUUAGAAGCUUCUUUGAUUUAGGGCUUCACCUCACUGAAGAGUGUGUAAACUCUCAAUUCACUGUGUGUUGUUAAUGUGACAGAGUGUGUGUUUUGAGUGAGUACUUUUUGAGUUGUGUUUAAAGGUGGGAACUUAAAAGAAG